GAUGAACGCUAGCGGCAGGCCUCAUACAUGCAAGUCGAGGGGCAGCAUAGUACUUCGGUACUGAUGGCGACCGGCGAACGGGUGCGUAACGCGUAUGCAAUCUGCCUUGUACUGGGGGAUAGCUUCUGGAAACGGAAAUUAAUACCCCAUGUGAUAGUUGAUCGCAUGAUUAACAUAUCAAAGCUCCGGCGGUACAAGAUGAGCAUGCGUCCCAUUAGUUUGUUGGUAGGGUAACGGCCUACCAAGGCUACAAUGGGUAGGGGGUCUGAGAGGAUGAUCCCCCACACUGGCACUGAGACACGGGCCAGACUCCUACGGGAGGCAGCAGUAGGGAAUAUUGGUCAAUGGGCGCAAGCCUGAACCAGCCAUGCCGCGUGCAGGAUUGAAGGUCCUUAGGAUUGUAAACUGCUUUUUUAUGGGAGCAACAUCUUUCUGCGGAAAGGUAUGAGAGUACCAUAAGAAUAAGCACCGGCUAACUCCGUGCCAGCCGCCGCAGUAACAC
rnacentral:rRNA from 1 species